GACGAACGCUGGCGGCGUGCCUAAUACAUGCAAGUCGAACGAACCGCGACUAGGUGCUUGCACUUGGUCAAGGUGAGUGGCGAACGGGUGAGUAACACGUGGGUAACCUACCUCAUAGUGGGGGAUAACAGUCGGAAACGACUGCUAAUACCGCAUAGGACAUGGGAUCACAUGAUUCUGUGAGGAAAGGUGGCGCAAGCUAUCGCUAAGAGAUGGACCCGCGGUGCAUUAGCUAGUUGGUAGGGUAAGGGCCUACCAAGGCGAUGAUGCAUAGCCGACCUGAGAGGGUGAUCGGCCACAUUGGGACUGAGACACGGCCCAAACUCCUACGGGAGGCAGCAGUAGGGAAUCUUCCGCAAUGGACGCAAGUCUGACGGAGCAACGCCGCGUGAGUGAAGAAAGGGUCUUCGGAUCGUAAAAGCUCUG
rnacentral:rRNA from 1 species